rnacentral:rRNA from 1 species
GAUGAACGCUAGCGAUAGGCUUAACACAUGCAAGUCGAGGGGCAGCACAAGGUAGCUUGCUAUCUGGGUGGCGACCGGCGCACGGGUGCGUAACGCGUAUGCAACUUGCCCUAUACAGGAGGAUAACCCGUCGAAAGACGGACUAAUACUGCGUAUGCUCACAACUUGGCAUCAAGUGGUGAGGAAAGAAAUUCGGUAUAGGAUAGGCAUGCGUCCCAUUAGCUUGUUGGUGAGGUAACGGCUCACCAAGGCAACGAUGGGUAGGGGAACUGAGAGGUUUAUCCCCCACACUGGUACUGAGACACGGACCAGACUCCUACGGGAGGCAGCAGUGAGGAAUAUUGGUCAAUGGGCGCGAGCCUGAACCAGCCAAGUCGCGUGAGGGAUGACUGUCUUAUGGAUUGUAAACUUCUUUUAUACGGGAAUAACAAGAGUCACGUGUGACUCCCUGCAUGUACCGUAUGAAUAAGCAUCGGCUAACUCCGUG